UNUGACUUGAGUGCAGAAGGGGAGAGUGGAAUNCCAUGUGUAGCGGUGAAAUGCGUAGAUAUAUGGAGGAACACCAGUGGCGAAAGCGGCUNUCUGGUCUGUCACUGACGCUGAGGCUCGAAAGCGUGGGUAGCGAACAGGAUUAGAUACCCUGGUAGUNCACGCCGUAAACGAUGAGUGCUAGGUGUUAGGCCCUUUCCGGGGCUUAGUGCCGGAGCUAACGCAAUAAGCACUCCGCCUGGGGAGUACGACCGCAAGGUUGAAACUCAAAGGAAUUGACGGGGGCCCGCACAAGCGGUGGAGCAUGUGGUUUAAUUCGAAGCAACGCGAAGAACCUUACCAGGUCUUGACAUCCCGAUGCUAUUCUUAGAGAUAGGAAGUUACUUCGGUACAUCGGAGACAGGUGGUGCAUGGUUGUCGUCAGCUCGUGUCGUGAGAUGUUGGGUUAAGUCCCGCAACGAGCGCAACCCUUAUUGUUAGUUGCCAUCAUUAAGUUGGGCACUCUAGCGAGACUGCCGGUAAUAAACCGGAGGAAGGUGGGGAUGACGUCAAAUCAUCAUGCCCCUUAUGACCUGGGCUACACACGUGCUACAAUGGUCGGUACAACGAGUUGCGAGCCGGUGACGGCAAGCUAAUCUCUGAAAGCCGAUCUCAGUUCGGAUUGGAGGCUGCAACUCGCCUCCAUGAAGUCGGAAUCGCUAGUAAUCGCGGAUCAGCACGCCGCGGUGAAUACGUUCCCGGGCCUUGUACACACCGCCCGUCACACCACGAGAGUUUGUAACACCCGAAGUCGGUGAGGUANCCUUUUAGGG
rnacentral:rRNA from 1 species